ensembl:lncRNA
GGCCCAGGUAGGUGUGGAACUAGACGCUCACCUGUCUAAUGCUGGCUAAGAAGACUGGGAUCAGAGAAUAUAAAAUAGGAAAAGUGAUAUUUUUCUUCUACAAUUCUCAUACUAGAUACUUGUAUGAGUGUGUUAGUCACUCAUGUCUGACUUUUUGUGACCCCCAUGGACUGCAGCCCUCCAGGUGCCUCUGUCCAUGGGAUUCUCCAGGCAACAAUACUGGAGUGGGUUGUCACGUUCCUUCUCCAGGGGAUCUUCCUGACCCAAGGAUUGAACCUGGGUUUCCAAGCCAGGUUUUUCUGGGUGUUGCAAGCAGAUUCUUUACCAUCUGAGGCACCAGGGAAGCAGUAUUUUUCUUAGGUAAUUCUCAGAUACUUAACCACCUAUUGAUGUUUGUGUCCUGACCCUGACAUGACUCUGUGAUGAAGAGCUAGGGACUAGGAUUACACCAAGUGGAGAGGAGCAGUAUUCCUUUGACUGGAAGGCAUUCCGUUGUGAUGCCUGAGGUCCUGUUUACCUGCUCAGAAGGUAAAGGAGGGGCAGCGAAUCUUGAGGAGGAAUCAGGAGGCUUCUGGGGGAUGGGCUGUGACUUGGGGCUUGGGAGGAAGGGAAAAACUCUGGCUGGCUGGCUGGGGACAGUGUCAGGCAGGCGGGGGCUCAGGCUGGGAUUGGAACUACCCAGGGAAGGACAGGAGACAGAGCUGGCUGGGCCAGGAAGGGAGGAGAAUGGGGCGGGUGUGUGUGUGUGUGUGUCCUGAAUACCAGGAGCUGCUGACUGUGACUUUUUGAGGUCACUUACUCCAGUGGUUCUCAAAACUAUACCUCUAAGAACACUGGGCUUUUGAGCACUUGGAUUAUAUGAAAAUAAAUUCCAGCCUUAUCUCCAAAGUAAAAACUAUAUAUAUACAUACAGUAAAUUCAUCAAUAUUCUUUCCCUUUCAAAUAUUCUUACUUGGUGACUGUUCCUGCUUCUCUCCACUAGAAUCAAGGUCAAGGAUAGAAGCUGGUCCAGCAAAAAGUUAGAUGAAUUGUCUUACAUUUAAUCAGUCAACAUUACAAAGUGUUUAUGCUACAUACAACUUCAUAACAUCCGGGUCUGAGGGCAUCUGUAAAACAGGGGGACCUCCAACCUCUCUUUCCACAGGUGGGCAAUCAGAGGGCCAGUCCACUGCGCUGGCCUGCCGGGCCUCCUGCCAUGUCCCGGGCUGAGCGCCUCUGAACCACAAGCUUCGCAGUCCUGAGCACUGACCCAAGGCCCUCCCAGGCCGUCCUGUGAACCGAAGCACAAACAUCCCCCUGGCAGGCUCAGGGCUUGGGAGGAGAUGGGAGCUGCGGGACCU